rnacentral:rRNA from 1 species
CACGUAGGGACCAAGCGUUGUCCGGAUUUAUUGGGCGUAAAGCGCUCGUAGGCGGUUUGGUAAGUCGGGUGUGAAACCUCCAGGCUCAACCUGGUGACGCCACCCGAUACUGCCAUGACUUGAGUUCGGUAGGGGAGCGGGGAAUUCCUGGUGUAGCGGUGAAAUGCGUUGAUAUCGGAAGGAACGCCGGUGGCGAAAGCGGUCUGCUGGCCCUCUACUCGACGCUGAGGCGCGAAAGCCAGGGGAGCAAAGCGGG